CACGUAGGCACCAAGCGUUGUCCGGAUUUAUUGGGCGUAAAGAGCUCGUAGGCGGUUGAGUAAGUCGGGUGUGAAAACUCUGGGCUUAACCCAGAGCCGCCACCCGAUACUGCUCUGACUUGAGUUCGGUAGGGGAGCAGGGAAUUCCUAGUGUAGCGGUGAAAUGCGCAGACAUUAGGAGGAACACCGGUGGCGAAGGCGCUGCUCUGGGCCGAUACUGACGCUGAGGAGCGAAAGCGUGGGUAGCAAACAGG
rnacentral:rRNA from 1 species